UUCAAAAUGACUGCACACGGCAUUUGCAUUCUUCACGAUUGUAUGUAGCAUUACUUCUAUCCAAAUCCCUUGAAACAUGAAAAAACUAGCUACCCCUGCAUAUGGCGUGGAAAGGAUUGAUUUAUUGACAUCAAGACAUUCUUCCUUCAUUUUUGAUUUCCUUCAACAUGUUCUUCUUGUGGUGGAAGUAAGUCUGGUUCGUUGAAUGAGAGGCCCCUAGACAAAGAUAUCAUACUCGGGGUCCUAGGAUGGUAUGCUGAGAUCCUUUUUCCCUUGCCAUCAUAAAUAACAGCAUCUUCCUCGUCCGGUACUUUACAUUUUUCCCCUAAUAUAAUCGUCUUCAUCCAAAUAGAGUCCUCCAUCUUCAACUCCUCUUUCCUCUGACGAUUUUCCUCCCUUCUUGCCAAUGACAAGCUUCUUGGAAGUUUUAUACUUAAAUUCAUCGAUGCUUUUCGGUAAGACGAGCUUUUGUAGGUGGAGAAGGAGAUGUCAUUGUCAUUGUCAUUGUAAUUGCUGUUGAAUCAACCAAACCUGGCUUUUCUGCCGUUUCAAAUGGAGGGGGAGCUGAAGAAGGAGGUGAUGUUCUUUUCCUAAACCGAGAUCCACAUAGAGCUGUGAUCGUAGCAAUGGCUGCUGCUAUCCCUACAACUAGGAGUGAAAAUGAGAGCAAUGGAUGUAUUAAUGGCUUCUCAUUCAAAGGGAUUCUCCUUCCCAUGACUAAAACAUCCAAAGAAAGAUAAUGCAAACUUGUGACCUCUCUUUCUUUGGAUUUUCUCACUUGUCUGCUCUCUCUAUAUGCUCUUUAUUUAUUUAUUUUCUUUCUGAUGUUUGAAAAUGGUGCAACGAGGUUGUUUGGAUCUUGGUAAAGGAAAAAAAUUUAGUCUGAAAAUGAAGGUGGGUGUUUUUGUUCCUUCUUGGUCUCUAUAGGAGUAUCCGAAACAAUUUGCUUGAAUUUAGGAAUUGAGAGGACAUAAGAAGAGGAGGGGAGGAAGAGUCAUACUAUUCUGAGGCUUUCAAGACUUUGUAUUUUGGCCAAAGCAAGACCAUUCAGACGGUUAAGUUAGUUAAACCAUUCAUCUAUAUAUAUCUUU